GUUUUUACAUCGUGUCCUGUAUCUCCUGAUGUGUUUUGUUGUGUUAAAUCAGUCCAUCUGUAAACACAUGAUGUAAUCUGACACGUCUGCUCCCGUCUCUCUGCAGUAUAUUCACUCAGCAGGCAUCAUCCAUCGAGAUUUAAAACCAAGUAACCUUGCAGUGAAUGAAGACUGUGAGCUGAAGAUUUUGGACUUUGGUCUGGCACGACACACCGACGAUGAGAUGACCGGCUACGUGGCGACCCGCUGGUACCGUGCCCCAGAGAUCAUGUUGAACUGGAUGCAUUACAACAUGACAGUGGAUAUUUGGUCUGUGGGAUGUAUAAUGGCAGAACUUCUCACUGGACGUGCUCUGUUUCCCGGCACUGACCGUAUCCUUUUUCAUCUGACAGUUCGCUGUGCACACCAUGAACUCCUGCAGCUGACAAACAAUUUACAUAACAAAUUAAACUGAUCCAACACACACCGAUGAUGACGUAGAGGCGCGCUGAUUUGUCUGCAAUAAAUCUGCAAUACUGCUUUUCUCCGUCCUCACACGGAAAGCCGCCUUUCCUUUUCAACACGACUCUGCCUGAGGCGUUUUCUCAUGAAGAGCGAUCACACAUUUUUCUCACUUGACACAUGCACCUCUGA